CACGUGGGAAGCCCUAACCCCGUCCUCGUCCUCGGUAGCGUGGUGCUCGUCCUCCUGGGAGGAGCCCGGCGAGGCCCUGUGGCUGAGACUCGGGCACCUGGCUCUGCUCUGGCCCCCCUAGAAGACCCUGACGCCUAGUCUCUGGAUUCAGACCUCGCCUGCAAAAACAACGUGACCACAUCAGCUCAGCCUGCACCACCAACUGCUCUGAGAUGAGGCGUGAGGUUCCCUUUGGAGGUAGCAGGCAUCUUCAUCCAUCCUCAGCACCCGCCACCCCAGGAGCCAGCCUGCAGAGCCAAGCAUGCGGCAAGCCCUCUGUCUACAUCCUGUGACUACAUUAUUAUUAUGAAGCCUGCCCUAAUGCACAUAUUAGGCUGGAAGAGGGGUGAUGUGGAAUAUAUCCCACCGCUGGCUGUGGCACCGGAGCCAGCCCAGGAGCCUCCCUUCUCCAAGAGGGGCUUGGAGGGGAGCCGUGGCACCCCACAAGGACUAUCCUGCUGGCUGGCUGCAGAGGAGUU
rnacentral:lncRNA from 1 species